rnacentral:rRNA from 2 species
CCUAAAAAAUAAUUAAUUAUUUCUUUCAGUCGAAGCUUUUUCUUUCCCGGAGCUUGCUCCACCGAAAGAAAAGGAGUGGGUUUUUGUGAGUAACACGUGGGUAACCUGCCAUCAGAAGGGGAUAAUUCUUGGAAACAGGUGCUAAUACCGUAUAACAAUUCGAAACCGCAUGGUUUCGGUUUGAAAGGCGCUUUUGCGUCACUGAUGGAUGGACCCGCGGUGCAUUAGCUAGUUGGUGAGGUAACGGCUCACCAAGGCAACGAUGCAUAGCCGACCUGAGAGGGUGAUCGGCCACAUUGGGACUGAGACACGGCCCA